rnacentral:misc_RNA from 1 species
GUGUUUUACUUAACUACUUCUAGUGGACUAAAAACACUUUUCAUUCUCCAAAAGUGAUUCCAAACCUACCGUAACAAAUAGGAUAUACUCCUAUUUUGAUAUGAGAUAUGUACAAAGUUAAAGGUCUCAAGGGUUUGCCUCAAAUAAGUUUAGAAAUAGGCAUGGUACUGGAGAAAAUGUGAAAGUAGGGGACAUGGUUGUUGUAUAUGUUGCCUAUUU